rnacentral:lncRNA from 7 species
AAAGCUGAGUCCUGUUUGGUAGCAGCUCGGUCAGCCCGAAGCAAAACUAAACAGAACAAUAAUUAUUCGGCUCAGUCCUCGCUUUCGAAAGGAGCUCGCGGAGUGAUUCUGGAGAACAGAAAAGGAGAAGCCUCAGGAAGGAGCUCUGUGUCCCAACAGCUUUGCUGACGGCUAUCAGUGAGUGAAGAAACCCAGUUUUUCUCCUGCUCUUGUUGACCAGGGGUGAAGUACGUGGCUGGGUUGUGGCCACGUCCUGCUCUCCCGAGCUGCAGCUGUGAACAUUGAGCAAUGCAGCGACCUCUCCCUCUGCGGGACUUGUUUGCUUGUAAUUACUUGAGCCCCGUUUAAGCAGAUUAGGACGGCACCAGUUGAGUUUCGAAGUGUUUCGUUAAUUUGCUGUUCCGUGGUCAUUCUGAUGUCAGUCUGUUCAGGGAGUCGCCCAGAAGGGUGCAUACGGGGCUUGUGCGAAAGACGGAUGCUUCCAGGAGUUCCCAAGGAGCCCCGCCGUGCAUCCACGGUCUGAAACGUGCUCAGGGGGAGCGUCGCUCCAGGAGAGGCUGCAAACACGGCGAGCAGAGCGAGUGCCGUCCUCUCGAGGUGCCUCGCAGGGGCAGAGCCACGUAUCCAGGCAGAGCUACGGCUGGAGAUGAGGUGUAUCCUGAUGAAAUGCCACCUCCACAUCUAAUUGCUGGAUGCAACUUCUUGUUGCUAAGCAAGAAGAGAAGUUUUUUAUGUUGUCCAUUGUCUGCCAGUGAAUGAAUGCCUGCUUUAACACAAACAUGAAACAACCACAUGUAAGUAAGGAACACUGUCAUGCCACAGAAGUACCAGGGCUCUCUCUGGGCUGAGGGAGCAGUACCAUCAUUGCAGGGUGUGAGAGAAGGGGCUCUGCAGUUCUGCUAGGAAUGGAGCAGUUUCAAUGCUCGUUCAAUCACCUUUCAGUGUCUGUAGUGCUACGGAAUCUUCUCACUGACGUUUUGUUCAGCUUGUGAUGCUGGCAAACUAAACCCGCAGAUGUCCUGGAACAUCCUCAAUCACAGUCAGAAAAUCAACCUGAACUCCAGCUGAGACCCAAACCAAGAAGGUGGCAAUCUAUGGACUGCUAAAAGCGAGCUUGUGAGCUUGCACACACUGCAUUGCUUUCUUUGUCAACAAGCAAACUAUUGUGUAAUUCUUUGUCUGGGCUGUGGUUAUUCCACUCUUGCCCUUUUCCUUUCAAAAUGGUGUCUGUUUGGUUUGAAAGACUCUCUUAGAGCAAAAAAGACACAGAAAAGGCAGGCUUCCUACAUCUAGAGCCAGCAUAAAUACAAAAAUGACAAGAGGGGAGAGUACGAAAUAAACUCACUGAUGAAUCCCAGACAGUUACAGACAAACUUGUACCAAGUUUUCCCUUUGCCUGGCUGGCAAAGUAGCCUGCGAUACAGCGCUUUGUACCCCGGCUGUCUUGAGCUCCACACAGGAAGCGGGGUAUACUGCAGAGGCAGUCUUCUUGAAGCACGGGGUCUUUUAAUCUUUAAACUUGCAUACCGCAAUGAACAUGCAGUAAAGUAUUAUUAUUAUC